CCGACGCGGGGCCACCGACAAUCCCUUCUCCGCCUCGACGUGACACGAGGCUGCUCGUGCAUGCCGCGUGCAACACACGCGCCGAUCCCCCGCACGCGAUAUUAUCCGCACGCGUGCCCGCCAACCGACAGCAUCGUUGCCAUCUAAGAAUAAUCGGUGCCGAGAGAGGUAGAAAAAUCGGGUAGGAAGGAGCAACCGAACGCUCGCUCAUCCGCUCGCCAUCCGAUCUAUCCUCGCGGCCGAAUUUCAUGCCCGCCGCGGUUUUUUCUCGCGCCCGAUAAUAUAAUACGCCGUCGAGUUUUGAACGACGACCGGCAAGAGGAGGAGGAGGAAGAAUCGGUGUGGUAAAACUGAGCAGUGAAGUGCGUCGCGCGAGGGCUAGACUUCGACGGUCGACGCUACCAACCGCGAGAGAGCCUCGUGAGUAUAUUUAAAUAGUGUGUCUCUGGCUGGUCAGAGGAAGCCGACAGUUUCUUGGUCUUCGUCGUCAUCGUCAUCGUCGUCAUCGUCGUCGUCUUCUUCUUCUUCCUCUUCUUCUUCUUCUUCUUCUUCUGCUUCUUCUUCUUCUUCUUCUUCCUCUUCUUAUUCUUAUUCUACCGCUCCUUCCUACGUCGUCGUGUGUCAUCAUCCUCGGCUUUUCCUCGUUCGGAGUGCAACGUGAUACGUGUGUCGAGGGACCGAGACACCGCAACACGGGGGUGGCGCGAAAUUCCUUAUCGAAUCUCGACGAUUCGUUUAUCGUCAUCGCGAAACGCACAGUGUCGUCGAUCCGUCGCUGAAACGAACGCUCCAAGAUCGAUCGAUUGAAACGAUCGGGGACGCGAUCUCACCGAUGAGAGUCCUCGAUUCGAGAAGCUUCUAUCGGGAAUACACCUUCGAGAUCCAACGAAUCCUAAAAGAUCCUUUAUUUUCGAUAUUAAUUAAACUAUAAUAUACGAGUAUCAUCGUACAGUGUACAUAGAAGAAAAUAAUUACGGAGAAAAGUGUGUCAAGGAGGUGAACACGAGGAGACAGUAGCCGCGAGUCGAUCAGACAGAAUGUUCCUUUGCAACGAUCAACAGGAUGAUCCCGAUUUUUGAACUAACUGACCCGGUGCCGUUUGCAAGCAGCUCGAUCGCGGCAAAGGCCGUUCGGCGUCGUCUAGGAUAAUCGGGAGUAAGAUUGAAGGAUGAUGAAGAGGAUGGUAUCGCGUUGGACGAAAAGCAGACAGCCGAGAAUCUGUCCGAUGGAAGUCCCGAUCGCUUGCUGCCGGUGGUACAACACCUCGUGAACAGCGUGUCAAAAGAUCGUUUCGUAACCGAAUGACGUUUCUUCGUUAAAACAUUCAUCCGCGGAGAGAUUGAGAGAAAAAGAAACGAACGAAUCAAGAGGUAAGGAAAGAGAUCGGUGGCGAAUUCCGUUCUGGAAUAGAGACGAAGAAGAAGAAGAAGAGCGCGGGGUGAGAGAGAGAGAGGUGUGUGCUUGUUCGGGGUGACCGAGGUGUCGACCUCACCCCCGAUCAAACCAGCAAGCAGGUCGGAUGAUGUGGGCGUCUCUGUUUUUGGCCGGGAUCUUAAGCGGCUGGUGGGGCGCACUGGCGCUCGCUGCGGCACCCCCCGCCAAUCGGAACUCCCUCGAGGAAACGUCGAGCAGGACCACCAGCGAUCAUCCGCCAUCGAUGAGCAUCGCCAGCGUUGAGAAAGCCCUCGAUUACCGAGCCCUUGCCCUUGAUUCGCCAACUUGGAAUUCGUUGGUCGCAAGAACGAGAGAACCGAUCGCUCGAUCAUCGGAAGAGAAGCAGGAUAGAAGGUUGGCCGAGUCGAGUUCCUCGUGGACGUACGAUAGAUACGCGUCCAUCGCUGGUAACUCGGACUCGGUUGCGAAAACUCGGUAUCCGCAAGAGGAUGAGUCAAAGGAGAAGGCGGAACAAUUGGACGAGUGGAUACGCGAGGCUUUCGUUUCCUCGUCGAAACAGGCGAAUCGUCGUCGCGAGGACGACGUACCGAUACCGCGUGCAAAGAUGCAGGAGUCCGAUCUGACACGGCCGCCUCGUCACUCGUCCUCCACCCAAAUGCCGUUUUUCUAUUCUCAGGGGACCGAGUCGUCCGUGGAAAGGCCACGGCCCAUCCGAUCCACCAAGCAACGACCAAAGAACCGGGCGAAAGCGGACUCGCCACGGGAGCAACGACGAAGAUGCCGUAACAAGGGUUGUCGCGGGCAAAACUGGUGCCCGGACGUGGACGUGGGGAACAGGGCGUACCUGGCGCCAACGGUGUUCGAGGGAAAGGCUAGGAGCAUGUCGUCCGUGAGGAAACCGGGCUCGAACUACGCGGUGACGUUCGAGGUGAAGCAAGUAUACAAGAGUCAGCCCGGUUUCCAGCCGUUGCAGAAGAACGACAGCGUAAGGCUGCACUUUCGAGACAAAUCGGCGCCCGGCAAGUCGACCGUAUGCGGCUACGAUACCGACGGCAAGCAGCAGCAGCAGCAGCAACGCGAUAAUCAGAGUGGUGUGGUGCGAGCCAAUAUUAAGAGGGGUAAAGUGUAUCUAGUGUUUGUGAAUCGCGUGGGACCCAGAAACUUCACGAUCCUCGGUGAGCCGGUGAUUCGAAGCAAGAAGAACGAACAGGCGGUACAGGCUGUCGUUCGACCGGAUUACGUGAGGGAGGUUACGUUGUCCGAACUCAGGGACUCGAUAGCGAGGUUAAGGGAGAGAGUGAAGCUAGUAUGCCGAACGAGGGGUUCUCCGCCCCCGAGGGUGCACUGGCUGAAAGACGGCAUACCGUUGCACCCCCGCAGAGGUCUCAGGAUUCAGCACAAACGACGGAGGUCGAAAGUGGUGAUAUCGUCCGCGAAGCCUGAGGACAGCGGAAGAUACGAAUGCGUGGCUGAGAGUACUUCCGGACAUCGGGCCUCGCUCGCGGCCCAGCUUCUAGUCACUCCCGAUAGCAGAAUUCCGGAAAUGACGACCCCACCGUGGGUGAGGCAGGAACAACCGUGCCCGAUGACUGGUGACUUUUGCAUGAACGGGGGUACCUGCCUGUUUUUCGAGACCGUCGGUGAACCAGCAUGCAGAUGCGCGGAAGGUUUCACGGGUCUACGGUGCGAGACGAAGGAUGUCAUCAGCACCGGAAAUAUGGAUAAAUUCUCUUCGUUCGCCGAGGACGUGACACUCGCCCGCUUCUAGCGCAUCUAGCGGCACUGUCAAGCUUGCACAUCGGGACAUUCAUCGUGUUUUGUUUUGUUGUAGCCUCACCCACAUCCCUACCCGAUACCCGUUCAGGUUCCUACAUAUGCGUCCUCGUCUUCUCCCCUCUCCUUGGGCUCUCUUUUCCAUUCGAUAUUUCCAUUCCAACAGUCGAUCACACGUUUCCAGCUUCCCUCCACCGUUUCUCCUUACUCCAUUCUCCGCAAUUCUCCGUUUACCGCUUUUCCUCUUCUACUUUUACUUAUAUUUCUACUUCUUCUUCUACUUCAACUUCGCCGUUGCAUCGAUUCCGAGCUGCGACGAGCACCUGGCUACACCUUCCAUUUUCAGAGGAGAGCCCCAGGGGAUGAAGCGAUUCGCCGACCAACGUCAUCCGCGCGCAUCCUGAAUCCUGGACCGUCGACAGUCCGCCUACGACAGCUACCUUGCUCGAAAUCUCGUCGAGGAACAUUCUUUUCCGACUGAACAACUCCUUUUUCAAACGGAUGAAAAGCUACGUCCUCUCGAUCGGCAGCGUCGAUUUUCAUCGGACGCCAUCGCCAAAGAGGGCAACAUCGUGUGGUCCACGACAUCGUUCCAGAGAGGAAGCACGGAAAACGGAUCUCGAAGAACAAGGGACGCCAUCGAAUGGAAGCAGCGUGUUCAACGGACGAGAGAAAAGGGGUCGCAGUUGAAUUCGCCGUUCGAAAAAAAAGAAAAGAGAAAAGAAAAACAACGGGCAAAAAUCUUUUCCCCCUUUUCUUUCUCUAUCUGUACCUCUGUCGUUUCUCUAUUUGCUUCCCGGGGGUAGAAAUUGUCGGAAACACAAUAAACGAGCGAAAAUAUUGCGACCAAAUCAAAUUCAAGUCCCAUGCGUGUAAAACUGCAUUCAACUGGAAUAUAUAUAUACACAUACAUAUAUAUAUAUAUGUAUGUAUGUUUUUUUCCAGGCAGUUCGUUCGACGUUCGUUUCAAUGGUUUUUAAUUUUCUCCCCAUGGGAUCGGCAUUUCGCUCGUCGAUCAUUUACGCGUACAGAAAGAAUUAAAAUAGAACACGGCUGGUUGUUGAACGUGUAUCGAUUCACGAGAAGUUGGAAUCUCGAAAGGCUGAGUUAUUUGCUCGAAAGGUUUCUGCACCCGGGGGGUGGGAGCAAAGAGAGAAAAGGGUGAAGACGUCGUAAACCUUAUCCGCAAGCACGUGCGGAUCGUUAGAACAUCCCGUGGACACGACGAUUCCGUUUUACGGGAUUUCAGAAAGAAAAGCUCGGCUAGGGUGACCUCGGUUCGUGUAAUAGGAUUUCCGGAACCAACGAGUUUUCUUAAGGCCACUGUCUUCGAGGUAGCAACGUAAUCGCAUUGAUUAACGUUAACAAAUACGGAAUCCCUUUUUUCCCCAAGGAACAAAGCUCCCAAUAUAGAUUAAACAAAUUUUCCAAAAAGAAUCUCUAAGGAUAUUACUCUUUCGACCCUCUCAAGUAGACACACCGCCUUAACGAUAAAAGAAAACAGAUUCCAAAAUCUAGAAAGACUCGCUAGCAUUCAUAGCAGUGUUAAAAAGAGUUAAAAAACGAAAGCAACUGCCUCGAAGAACGGCCACCUGUUCCGAAUCUGGCAUAAAACAACCACGAAGAGAAACGGUCCUCGGUUUUCGAGCAACGGUUCGUCGAAGCGUGCAAUCGUACGCGUCCAGGACGCUCUUGUACAAAGUAUUCCUUGUAUCCCCUUCGAGCAACGCGCGUAUGUACGUGCGGGUGUGUGUGUGUGUGUGUGUGUGUGGGCGUCUAGUAACGAUCGAUCGAAACAUCAAACACCAGAGUGUCGACCGUUUUUCAGGGAUGAAAGCAAGACAAGACACGAGGGUACCCCCGGUUCGAAAUUGGUGUACAGAGUUCGCGACUCUAAGGGUGGUAACCACCGGUGGCAAGUUAGUUGUGUUAUUACGUGGGGGUUGGAGAAAUUGAGCAGUACUUUAAUUAACGGUACCACGGCGAGCAUCGCCGUAAGAAUCGUUCUACCCCGGCAGCGAACGAGUAAUUACAUUUUCGCUGCACCGAAUCGUAAUGUCGCUCUCGAUUGGCUUCAUCGAGAUGGAAAGAAAAAAGAAACUAAGGUGAAACGGUAACGUCGUAUAGUUGCAAUUAUUAAGGAUAAGGCUGAUUAAUUUUCAAUUAUUCAAACGAAUCUCCUGAUUGUAAAUACAUUGAAAAUUUCUUAUAUCGAACAACAAUGGGGAUACCGAGAUGAUGUUCGAGUUUUCACCGAUCGUGAAAACACACACACACAUAAGCACGUUUGCGCUUACUUUUUACAAUUUUUAGAGCUAUAAAGGAUUACGUAUAAUAGAUAGUCGUCGAACGAACUAGCGAACAGUGUUCCAACGUUCUUCAAACGUGAGAAGAGGAAGUACUUUUUGCCAUUCUUAGCGUUAACAACCAAAGAGACAAUGAGAGAAACGAAGAAAAAAUCGUGGUAGCGUAUGAUGUCCGUGCAAGCUUACUAGUGCCGCCGUGCUUUUUCGUUACGAAAUUCAUUUCGUCGCUCGUACCUAUCGAACGAUUUGUAUGAAAGUCAUCGUGAGUCAUCGAUGGCUCGUUGUUCCGUCUGGUGCACACAAUAUAUCCUCGAAAUCAUAUAUAUAAAAAAAAGCUCGUACAAGUACUUUCGUCUUUCAACGUAGCUAACUAAUUACUCGAACACGUUACACACCCAUCAAGUUUCAAUUUUCUUUUUUAAUUUUUCAUUUCAACAUGGCAACGCCAAUUGGCAACCAAAUGGAACGACGAGCCUGUAUUAAAGAGAAAAAAAAAAAAGAAACAAAAGAGGAAUGUAUUUUAUGAUAUUUUACGCAUAAAACGAUCGUAAAUCGAAUAUAGCGAUUAGUCCAAGGUAAACUUAAGUAGAAAUGUAUAAAUGAAGACGCGGAAAGGUGUCGUGCAAUUUACGAGGGCUGAAGAGGUACGUGUCGAUUUUUCGAGCAAACGAACAAUGCCUGCUAAAACGAUCGUACCAAUCAUGAUAAUGGUUCAUUAUUAAUUAUCAUCGUUAACGUCAAUCCCCUAACGAUCGUGGAAGACUACGACCAUACGUUUGCUAUUUCUUUCACGGAAGUCAAUGAAACAUCGAUUACCGACCUGCAAACCCAUCGAGAAUCACCCUGAAAUACGGGAUAGAACGCUAAGCGCUGUAAAAUAUUGUAUAUUGUUUCGCGUUACUUAUUUUACAAUCUUUUUAAUAGGAGACGCGUUUUUACGAUACCCAAGAAAAUUACAGCCCAUCCAACGAGAGGAGUAAAUGUGUACUUACAAAUUCACCUGCUCGAAACAGGCCCGACUCGCACUACACAGCCCUCGACCGAAGCGUUUGAAGAACUGGAAACAACUGUGCUCCGGCCCUGCGUCGAGCACGGGAAUUUGUAAACAUAAACUGACUCGUCUCGUUGGUCGGACAAUAUAGCGAAACGACUUGUUUUGAUCCACGGUGCUGUGCUCGUUCAUCAAGCGAAGACCAAAAAUGUCUCUAACAUCAGAUACCGUAAGAAUAAUCGCGUUUUUGCCUAAAAUUUCGGUGGUAAAACUGGAUCGCUUACGAAUACGGUGCCACAACGGAUCGGCCGGAUUCUAGUAUGUUUAUAAAAUUCAACGUAUUUCCAACAGCUUUUGCAGUGUGUUAAAUAAAGAGAAGAUGGAAGCGAAUUAUAGUCUAUGCGAGAUUCGAAAAGCGUCGAUGGAUCAUUACAGCCCUCGAGUAAAGUAAUCGCGCGAUCGAAGCAAGCAAGCUUGCCUUGUUCUCGAAAGUUAAGUAAGAUCAGGUCGAAAUAAGAGGUUCGACCGAACGAUUCGUUUUGUACGAUACGUGGAGAACGAUUCACGUUAGUUUGAAAUAGCGAACGAAAGUGCACUAUGAAUCGUAAAGGCUAAUUAAAUAGCAGCACGAAGUACUAACGAAUUAAUAGGGAAAUUGUCGUCGUAAGGGACAAACGAAUGCUGUAAUUUUAUUAAAUGCAGCGUUUUUAAAAUGCCGCUGUGUUGAUGUUUCCUAAAAAUGGUCUUCGAUUUACGUUCGAAGUGGGUCGGGGUACAGUAGGUACCGUGAACGAGAAUGUUACGACCAAAAUAACACUUACUCGAGAUCGCGAGAGAAUCACAGAAACGAUAAUAGUUUAUGUAAGGCACGAAGAUUUGUAUUGAAAUUUCGGUUGACUGCGCACAAAUGAAAUCAAAUCAGACGCCGCGAUUGAAUAAAAUACAUCCAACGAGAUGCCUAGUCAACGUGUACGUGCUCCCAGAAAAUGAUUUUCUCUUUCGUUUGCAUUUACAAACAGAUUUUCGUUUCGUCAUUCGUCUGUUAACCGCAAACGUUAUGUAUCGGAGAAUCGUGACAUCGAAAGGAAAAAUAAUAAAAAAAUUAAGGACGAAGUAUUCGGAGCACCUGUACACUUAAGAGUAUUUAUAUAAUGCUAACGAUGUUACUUGCGAUUUGGUAUAUGACGAAUGUCAAACACGAAAGAAUAUUUUAUUCUAGACGUAUCUUUCAUGCUUUGCCAAGUAAAAUAAUAUAAUUCCUGUGUUAAGUGUAAUAGUCAAUUAUGUUUUAAUAAAAUCUGCCAAGAUUCUUGUCAA